UUUUAUAGUAUUUACUGAAUUGGAUAGGUCUGGAUUUGUUGGUGCUGUUGUAUCCGUAAAUUUUCUGAUUUUGCUAUAUAGGUAUGGAAUAUGAGCAGAUCUGUGAGUUGCAAAAAAGAAAGUCUGGCAGAAUGCUUGGCCUCCUGUGCAGGAAGUGAGACCUGAAGGGUGAGCUUAUGGUGAAGAGUAUCUAUUUUUGGGUUUUGCAGAUUUAUUUUGAAGUUUGACUUGGAGGUAAGUUCUCACUUUUGUUGGUUUCUUGAGGCAUCCAAGGACUUCCUGUUUAGGUUAUGGCAAUUCCUUUCUGGUUCGACCCGAGGUAAUGAUGGUAAGGUUAUAGACCAUGCAGUUUCUAUUUUUGGAUAUCAAUAAUCUUUGGAACGAAGUAAACCUCGUCUCUGCUACCUGCAACAAAUUAUCUUUUUUUGCAUCUUCUCCGCUGGAACACUAUUCAGUAGAAGUUUUUGAGCCUUCCCUUGUAGAUGUUGCUCUCUAUAUUCCAUUUUGUUA
rnacentral:lncRNA from 1 species